CCCUUCGAUGUUCGGAGCUGCACGCGCGCUACACUGUGGGUGGCAGCAUGUUAGCUUGCCUCGCUCGCAAGAGUGGGGUAAUCGUUUGAAAAUCCCACGUGAUUGGGAUAGGGACUUGUAAUUAUUUCCCUUGAACGAGGAAUCCCUAGUAAGUGCAGGUCAUCAGCUUGCGCUGAUUACGUCCCUGCCCUUUGUACACACCGCCCGUCGCUGCCCGGAACUGAGCCAUUUCGAGAAAAAUGGGGACAGACUGCUUGGUCUCCAGGCUUUGCAGCGGAAAGUUUAGUGAACCUUAUCACUUAGAGGAAGGAGAAGUCGUAACA
rnacentral:rRNA from 1 species